GGGCGUGGUGGUUCAUACCCCUAAAUAUCUCAGCACUUGGUUGAGGCAAGAGGUUUGCUACAAGUUGAAGGCCAGCCUGAGCUUCCGGAGUCAGACUGCCACAACAAGGCUUGGCCUGUUUUACCAGCCAACAUGCAAAUAUUUCUAGAGGCUGGCCUCUGUAGUCCCAGAGCAAAAGAAUUUUGGUCUUGCAGAAAGCAUUUGCAUCUGGAUGAAGGACUCCUACCACACAAAGAGACUGCACCUGGAUACAAAACCAGGAAGAGUUUGCUCAGAGGAAGGAUCCGAAGAGCAGAGGGGUUAGCUGCAAGGUGUCAGAUCUCCCUGGGCAGCUCCAUUAGAAAAGGUUAUCAGGUUCCCUGCAGGCUCAUUGGAGCCACCAGUAAAUGUGUUAGGGCGUUGAAAGGGAAGAAGAAAAAUGGUGGAGAAGAGUGAACAAAAGAAGAACCCAUAAAAUGGCAAACGCCAGCUACAGGAUCCUACACCCUCUGCUGGUCUCCGAGGACAUCAGACACAUGUGUGAUGCCAGACGGACACUCAGGCAAAGCUCCCAUACACAUAAAAUAAAAUAAAAUACUGCAACAACAACAAAACAGUGUCCAUAUGCUGGCUACACUGCCGAAGCGUAACAGCUGAAGAUGUUGCCGGAAACGCCAAAGCCAGUUUCCUGGGUUCCUCUUCUUUCCUUUCUUCCUAGUGACACCAUGAGUCUUAUUCUACCAGUUUUGCAAGAUGAACUGAACAGACCUCACGCUUUUAAAGACCUUGUACAGGGAUCUGGGGAGAUGGCUCAGUGGUUAAGAGCGCUUGCUGCUCCUGCAGAAGACCUGGGUUAGGUUCCCAACACCACAUGGUCCCUCCCAACCUUCUGUAACUUCCGUUCCAGGGGCAUCUGAGUAUUCACUUGACCAAUACAUAAUUAAAAACGAAA